CUGUAGUGCUUCUAUUCUACUACUAUCUCAAGAGAAAAAUAGCCAUCUGAAGAUAUGGGGUAAACAUAGAAAUUGAGCAAAGGGAUUCAGAUAAUCUUGAAGGAUAAUUCAAACAGGGUCUGUAAAAUCCCAGUGGCUUGCUCUAUAUCCUAAGCUGUUUCAAUCAACAUAAUCAUAAUUGAAUCAGGAGCCCUUAAUCUAUUAAAUCCCAGGUUAAUACAAAGCUCCUGACACAUUCUGUACCUUUCUUUCUUCAUUUCUGCUACACUCAAGGGCUAAGGUUUUUUUUUUUUCUUUUUAAACACUUUUCUAUCUUUUUCAGGCUCUCUGCACUCAAGAAUGCUUACGAGGGGUAUCCUAAUGCCAUCCUUUAAUUUUAUUAGAGAAUCCCCAACAUGCCAGGUCACACAACAUGGCCGGACAUAAUUUGGGUUGGAAAAAAGAAUGCAGAGCAAAAUUUCUGCUGUUGGUACAGAUGCUUCGAUCAAAUUGACACUGCCUGCUGGGGUCCCGGGAGAAUACUCAAAGUGAACAGAUGUGCCAUGGUUCCCAAUUUUGGUAGAGAAGUAAAAUCCUUGGCCAGAAUCAUCAAUUUAAAUUAGUAGCCGAGCCAGACUCCUGAAAAUUGUUACUGCACUGUAUAAUGACAGUAAAGCAUUGAAAUCACACCUCUCUCACCUCCUUUACAUCUUUGUUCAAAUGUCAAUUUCUCAAUAAGGUGAACCCUGACAAUUUCAUUUAAAACUACACUUGUUUCUCCAACUAUUCACCCUAUUCUAUGACUCUUCACUGCACUUACUCCCUUUCUGAUACAUUAUACAGUUAACUUACUUGUUGUGUUUC
rnacentral:lncRNA from 1 species